rnacentral:rRNA from 1 species
UACGAAGGGGGCUAGCGUUGCUCGGAAUCACUGGGCGUAAAGGGUGCGUAGGCGGGUCUUUUAAGUCAGGGGUGAAAUCCUGGAGCUCAACUCCAGAACUGCCUUUGAUACUGAGGAUCUUGAGUUCGGGAGAGGUGAGUGGAACUGCGAGUGUAGAGGUGAAAUUCGUAGAUAUUCGCAAGAACACCAGUGGCGAAGGCGGCUCACUGGCCCGAUACUGACGCUGAGGCACGAAAGCGUGGGGAGCAACA